rnacentral:rRNA from 1 species
AAGACCUUGCACUUUUGGAGCGGCUGAUGUCUGAUUAGCUAGUUGGUGGGGUAAUGGCCUACCAAAGCUUCGAUCAGUAGCUGGUCUGAGAGGACGGCCAGCCACACUGGGACUGAGACACGGCCCAGACUCCUACGGGAGGCAGCAGUGGGGAAUUUUGGACAAUGGGCGCAAGCCUGAUCCAGCCAUGCCGCGUGAGUGAAGAAGGCCUUCGGGUUGUAAAGCUCUUUCAGCCGGGAAGAAAAGGUUGCGACUAAUAAUCGCAAUUCAUGACGGUACCGAAAGAAGAAGCACCGGCUAACUACGUGCCAGCAGCCGCGGUAAUACGUAGGGUGCGAGCGUUAAUCGGAAUUACUGGGCGUAAAGGGUGCGCAGGCGGUUUUGUAAGUCAGAUGUGAAAUCCCCGGGCUUAACCUGGGAACU